CACGAAAGGAACUGGAAGGUGAGAGGUUGGACUUAGGAUCAACGCAAGAUAUUGGAAUGGCAGCAGUUGGCGGGGCCGGUGAAAUAGUAUCAUGUUUUGGCUUUUUCGGUUUCUGCUCGUGUUGAUUUCCAGAUAGAAAACUCCCUACUACAACCUGAACAGGACUUGCAGCUACUAAUAGACCAGCUACUCCACCGCCUACGACACGCCCAUCUGGACUUGCUAAGGAAACACUCAUUCCACCAGAUCUACUUCUAGUUCCUCCGUUGUCACUAGGCAUGAAUGAGCCAG
rnacentral:misc_RNA from 1 species